rnacentral:rRNA from 1 species
GCCUACGGGGGGCAGCAGUAGGGAAUCUUCCACAAUGGGCGAAAGCCUGAUGGAGCAACGCCGCGUGGGUGAAGAAUGUCUUCGGAUCGUAGAACCCUGUUGUUAGAGAAGAAAGUGCGUGAGAGUAACUGUUCACGUUUCGACGGUAUCUAACCAGAAAGCCACGGCUAACUACGUGCCAGCAGCCGCGGUAAUACGUAGGUGGCAAGCGUUAUCCGGAUUUAUUGGGCGUAAAGGGAACGCAGGCGGUCUUUUUAGUCUGAUGUGAAAGCCUUCGGCUUAACCGGAGUAGUGCAUUGGAAACU